GGGGACGCGUAGGUUCGACAGGAGCGGUUUCUGACGGAUUGCAGGCCGAGGUUGCUGCUGCCCUCGUAAAAACAGUGGCGAAAAAGUAACUGGCGAACGUGAAUUCGCUCUAGCCGCCUAGUCGCGGCUACGUCUGCCACCGGUAGGUCCGGAAGCUGGGACGCGGAUGUACAAUUAUUCCGGGAUGCUACCUCAGGGACGCCGAUACCCGAGGCCAUAGACUUUAUCGGCUGGCGGUUGAUGAAUCCCGUCGGCGGGAGUCCUCAGCAGCAAGAUUAAAUCGCCGAACACGCUUGUAGCAUAUCCGAUCAGGGAAGUUUCUGGACGGGGAGUGCGACUCUCCCCCGUCUCCACCA
rnacentral:tmRNA from 1 species